rnacentral:rRNA from 1 species
CCUACGGGUGGCAGCAGUGAGGAAUAUUGGUCAAUGGUCGGGAGACUGAACCAGCCAAGCCGCGUGAGGGAGGAAGGUACAGAGUACCGUAAACCUCUUUUGUCAGGGAACAAAGGCGGGGACGUGUCCCCGGAUGAGUGUACCUGAAGAAACAGCAUCGCCUAACUCCGUGCCAGCAGCCGCGGUAAUACGGAGGAUGCGGGCGUUAUCCGGAUUUAUUGGGUUUAAGGGGUGCGUAGGCGGUGUGUUAAGUCAGCGGUCAAAGCCCGGGGCUCAACCCCGGUCAGCCGUUGAAACUGGCAAACUCGAGUUGGAGAGAGGUAUGCGGAAUGCGCGGUGUAGCGGUGAAAUGCAUAGAUAUCGCGCAGAACUCCGAUUGCGAAGGCAGCAUUCCGGCUCCACACUGACGCUGAGGCACGAAAGCGUGGGUAUCGAACAGGAUUAGAUACCCGUGUAGUC